GUCGGGUUGGUAGCCGAACGGUUAAAGCAAACGGUUAAAGAUCGUUCGUGCGCUAGCCAAGGUGGGUUCAAUCCCUACCAACGACA